rnacentral:rRNA from 1 species
GUGGGGAAUAUUGGACAAUGGGGGCAACCCUGAUCCAGCUAUGCCGCGUGGGUGAUGAAGGCCUUCGGGUUGUAAAGCCCUUUUGGCAGGGACGAUAAUGACGGUACCUGCAGAAUAAGCCCCGGCUAACUCCGUGCCAGCAGCCGCGGUAAUACGGAGGGGGCGAGCGUUGUUCGGAAUUACUGGGUGUAAAGGGUGCGUAGGCGGCGAAGUUAGUCAGGCGUGAAACCCCCGGGCUCAACCCGGGAACUGCGUUUGAUACUGCUUUGCUUGAGUCCGGGAGAGGAUGGCGGAAUUCCCAGUGUAGAGGUGAAAUUCGUAGAGAUUGGGAAGAACACCGGAGGCGAAGGCGGCCAUCUGGAACGGUACUGACGCUGAGGCACGAAAGCGUGGGGAUCAAACAGGAUUAGAAACCCCAGUAGUCC